GACGAACGCUGGCGGCGUGCUUAACACAUGCAAGUCGAGCGGUAAGGCCCUUUCGGGGGUACACGAGCGGCGAACGGGUGAGUAACACGUGGGUGACCUGCCCUCAGCUCUGGGAUAAGCCUGGGAAACCGGGUCUAAUACCGGAUAUGACUCCAUGACGCAUGUUGUGGGGUGGAAAGCCUUGUGCGGCUGAGGAUGGGCCCGCGGCCUAUCAGCUUGUUGGUGGGGUGAUGGCCUACCAAGGCGACGACGGGUAGCUGGUCUGAGAGGACGAUCAGCCACACUGGCACUGCGACACGGGCCAGGACUCCUACGGGAGGCAGCAGUAAGGAAUAUUGCGCAAUGGGCAAAGCCUGACGCAGCGACGCCGCGUGGGGGAUGAA
rnacentral:rRNA from 1 species